rnacentral:rRNA from 1 species
CCUACGGGGGGCAGCAGUGGGGGAUAUUGGACAAUGGGGGAAACCCUGAUCCAGCGACGCCGCGUGAGUGAAGAAGUAUUUCGGUAUGUAAAGCUCUAUCAGCAGGGAAGAAAGAAAUGACGGUACCUGAGUAAGAAGCCCCGGCUAACUACGUGCCAGCAGCCGCGGUAAUACGUAGGGGGCAAGCGUUAUCCGGAAGUACUGGGUGUAAAGGGAGCGUAGACGGUAAUGCAAGUCUGGAGUGAAAGGCGGGGGCUCAACCCCCGGACUGCUCUGGAAACUGUGUAACUGGAGUGCAGGAGAGGCAGGCGGAAUUCCUAGUGUAGCGGUGAAAUGCGUAGAUAUUAGGAGGAACACCAGUGGCGAAGGCGGCCUGCUGGACUGUAACUGACGUUGAGGCUCGAAAGCGUGGGGAGCAAACAGGAUUAGAUACCCGGGUAGUC